UGCCAGCAGCCGGGAUAAUACGGAGGGGGUUAGCGUUGUUCGGAAUUACUGGGCGUAAAGCGCACGUAGGCGGAUUAGAAAGUAGGGGGUGAAAUCCCAGGGCUCAACCCUGGAACUGCCUCCUAAACUCCUGGUCUUGAGUUCGAGAGAGGUGAGUGGAAUUGCGAGUGUAGAGGUGAAAUUCGUAGAUAUUCGCAGGAACACCAGUGGCGAAGGCGGCUCACUGGCUCGAUACUGACGCUGAGGUACGAAAGUGUGGGGAGCAAACAGGAUUAGAUA
rnacentral:rRNA from 1 species